UUCAGCUGGGCGAUGCACUCGUUAAUCCGGUCACGUCUCUUUUUCUCGAUGAGCCGGUGCGGCAGUUUGUAGGUCUCCUACGAAGCGCACGGGGAGACGGUGGGCGCGGGAGGAAGGGGGUGAGGAGCCCUUCUCCUCCCCCACCCCGCGGCUCGAGGAGUCGGGGCAGCGGAGCAGAGUCACACCCAGAACCACACCUCACCUCCACCCCUUCUUCUCCAGGCCACUCAGUAGAGGCACAGAGCCCACGCCUUGCAUACCCCCUCCAACCGCAAAGUGAGAAAACUUUUACUGGAAACUCAGCGCGUGCGAGGGGCUGGGGUCCCGAGGGGCGCGGGGCUCUUACCUUGCUAUCCUCGCUCCGCUUUAUUCCCCGCCGCGACUUGUACACUUGGUACAUGUGGGCAAAAUCCAUCCUGCAGGGAGAGGGACGAGGAAGGGCUGUGACUUGCGCACCGGCUGCAGGAGCCCUGGCUGGCAAGAACCCCCGGAUGCGCCCAGAACUACUCCGAGUUGCAAGCCGCGCACAACGUAGGACUGGAGUUGAGGCUUGAAAGGGCUGGGGGUGCCAACUUACCCUGCAAAGUUUGCUGAAUGCUGCCUUAGAUGACUGCACCCUCAUCUGCCAUCAUGUGAAGCAGAAGAACUGCCUGGCUGAAUGAAACCAACCCACAUCGGUUUAUCCUGUAUGGGACUCUCUGUGCUUCCUGGACUUGUGUGACUAUUUCCUUUCCCAGAUCUUCCCCAAACAGGUGGACCGGUCGAGGCCCCAGCACCUCAUCGGCAGGAUUGCACCCGGCGUAGUGAAGCGCUGGCCUAGAGAGGAAGGUAUAUGAUACGGUCAGCCCUCCAAUCCUUGGAUGUGGAGCCUGUGGCUACGGAACCCGCGUAAAUGGAGGACCGAUUGUACCCCUUACGUAAAGAAUAUGAGCGCCCGCGGAUUUUGCUGUCCACGGGGGUCCCCAUGGAUACCGAAGGGUAGCAAGUUGCAGGUCCCCCAGGGAAAGUGCAGGAGUGGGAGCCUUACCAUGUGCUGCGGUGCUCGUGACAGUCUGCUUGGCAGUCACUUACCGAGAAGAAUGAAUGGCUGGCUACUGUAUAAACCCUGCCCCAUAUCUGUUCAAGUAGUUCUCAGUUAUCAUUAAUCAGAAUAAUGGUUCUUAAACUUUGGCGUGCACCAGAACCACCUAGAAGGCUCCUUAAAACACAGACCCAAGGGCCCACAAACAGACUUUCCGACUCAGGAGGCCCAGGGUAGGGCUGGUUCAACUGAAGAGGCUCUUCUAAGAAAGACAACUGAGAUCAUCAGUCACCUCCUCAGAGAAAGUCCACUGAGGUAGAGUUUUGUUUACCAUGUAAACAACGCAACAUUUAUUGUUGAACCCCUUAUUCUUUUACAGCCAGACUAGAGAAUUGCCAUUUUUUGGGUUUUUUUGGUGGGGGCAUGAGGGUCAAAGAAAGGGUCAUGGGCGAGAAGAUGGGUCCUGGGGAAGAUGGACCUGUAAGCCACAGAAUCCCCUCGGGGAAGAUUCAGGAAGGCAAAGACUGUCCUUUCAACUCAAAUGUCAAAUGCGUUCCCACUUAUCUUACCAAGCAAGACGACAAACUGGAUUUUCCCAGAGUGCCUGGCGAUGCUUCGGUGACAGGAGUGACUGAGGGGCAGGCCUGGAGACAGAUGCUUGGCCACCCCAUGUAUCCAAACCUCCCCAUGUAUCCAAACCCCCAGAAAAUGCCUGGAAGAGAGCGGAAGGGGAGGACUGAAGAUAAUCCUUAACUUUUCUAAAGCAGGAAUAUAUUACACUCAAUAAACUUUAAAUAUUUGCCCCUCUUGUGAGUUAGGGUGACUAUUUGCAUUGAAGAGGAAGAAAAUAAUCUUUAGAGCUCACUUUUCUAAGAUCGUGGAAAACAGAUAAAACGCAGAAUCCAUUGCUUUGGGCGAAAAAUAGUGAUAAUAACUCUACGUACGCUCAGUGACUCCAGAAUUGUCAUUUAUAGUAUCUAUUAUACAUUAAAAAAAAAAACUAAAUUGAAAAAAUAGAUUCCAAAGGUAAGAAGAUUGAGGGUUGGGGGCUAGAGGGACGAACAGGUAGAGCACAGAGGACUCGCAGGGCAGUGAACCUAUUCUGUUUGCUGCUGUAAUAGUGGAUCCAUGUCAUUAUACAUUUGUCAAAAGCUACAGAAUGUACAACGCCAAGAGUGAAUCCUAACAUAAACUACUGUCUUUAGUUAAUAAUGAUGUAUCUAGGUUAGUUUAUCGAUUGUAGUAACUGCACCACAGUAAUACAGAAUAAUGGGAACCGGCGGGUGAGGUGGGGAGAAGGGGGCAUACGGGAACUCAGUCCUUUCCGCUCCAUGUUUCCUGUAAAAAAUAAAAC